rnacentral:lncRNA from 1 species
ACUGUGGCCAGAGACCAGAACAAUGAGGAGAAAAUUCUGUCGCUUUGGAAACAAGGUUGGCAAGACACAUGCCAUUUCCUCCUCAGAGCUCUUGAUUCCACCAUACAUUGCCAAGAACUACUCUCAGCCCCCUUGACUAUUGUGCGUUGAUGUUACCAGCCUUGGCCAGGAAAACUUCUGGAAUUGAGUCUGCAGUUAGCCAACAUUAGCCAUUCUAGAUAGGCUAUCCUCAUUCUUUUUUAUUAUUCAAACUCAAAAGAGUGCAGAUUUCUUUAUGAGUUUUAAAUCCCCUGUAAGGUACUGUCUGUGGCCUGCAGUCAUGAAGAAUGACGUACAAAAUGUGAAAGUCAUCAGUCUAUUUCCUUCUUUCAGCAUGAAAGUAUAUUUGACUUGUGGACAGUAAGCAGCCUGGUUCCAAUUGAAGACCACCAUAGCAUGGGUCCUGCCCUACUGAAAUGGCAAAAGUACCAAGUGGCAGCAGCUUGGUGGCACGGAGACCACCAAAAAAGAAGGAGAAGGAGAAGGAGAAGGAGAAGAAGAAGAAAAAAGAAAGAAAAGAAAAUAGAAAAGAAAAAAGAGAAAAAAGGUGGUGGCUUUUGUUCUUAAAUUCAUAUAUUUAUAUGGGUACCUAUUUUUCAAUUAACCUUAACCUGAUUUUUGCAAUCUUGUUUCUUUUAGGCCUCACCUCUAAAUAAACCAUGCAGCUGUUUUCCACUACCCAAGGUUCAGGGUAUAUCCAUAACCUCAGAUCUCCUUUCCCACUAGACAGUGGAUUUUACCUCAUCAUUAAGUUUUGGGUCAUCCUUGAGAUGGGUUGUAAUUAAGUAGAAUAUCUUCCUUAGCUAGUGCAAACAUUUGCACUGAUUAUCUUGUGUCAUUUAAUUUUGUAUCAUUUCCUCCCUUAUGAAGGAAUCACAUUUCUCAGUUUCAGAAUAAUUCUGGAUGCUGGUUCUAAUACUAUGUAGUUAAUAGGAUUUACAGUGUAUUGUCUGAAAAGAGGGAUUGUAAAGACUCAUAAAUAGCAUGAAUUGAGAAAGAGAUGAUAGGUCAACUGAGACAGAUAACAUGGGAGUCUGGACUUCCUCACCAUGUAAUUUCCUUCUCUCUUUUAUAUGUGCUCAAAUCCAAUUUCAUAUGAACUAUUGCCAUGGUAAAAUAAGUUAUGUCUGUGCUCAUUCCAUCCCAUAAUUGGGCAUAUCUGACAAUACCCUAGGCACAGGGUCUUUUGCUGUGUAAUGAUCAGGUAUUUAAUCGUUAUUAAAUCAAAAUGAGAGUAUCUGAAGUUAGUGUUAAGUGAGUAUGUCUAUGAGUUGCUGGAAAUAGUUUUCAUGGGAUUAUUUUUCCUGUGAAGAUUCGUUGGUUCUCUGUGUAACUUCCUAUAUUCGUGAUACAGAAACAGAUAAGCAAAAGCCAAAGAACAGAGGUCAGAAAGAAAAAAAAAUGGUAUCUAAAUGCCUACUGCUUCCCUGCAUUGGGAACUCAAUAAUAAAUAAUAUAGUAUUUAUCA